GGACCCGCACAAGUAGUGGAGCAUGUGGUUUAAUUCGAAGAUACGCGCAGAACCUUACCAACACUUGACAUGUUCGUCGCGACUCUAAGAGAUUAGAGUUUUCGGUUCGGCCGGACGAAACACAGGUGCUGCAUGGCUGUCGUCAGCUCGUGUCGUGAGAUGUUGGGUUAAGUCCCGCAACGAGCGCAACCCUCACUUUUAGUUGCCAUCAUUAAGUUGGGCACUCUGAAAGAACUGCCAGUGAUAAGCUGGAGGAAGGUGGGGAUGACGUCAAGUCCUCAUGGCCCUUACGUGUUGGGCUACACACGUGCUACAAUGGUAUCUACAACAGGAAGCAAAACGGCGACGUUAAGCAAAUCCUUAAAAGAUACCUCAGUUCGGAUUGCACUCUGCAACUCGAGUGCAUGAAGCUGGAAUUACUAGUAA
rnacentral:rRNA from 1 species